CAUACAUGGAAUUAAGAAAGUCCUGAGUACCUCAUUCACUGACAGUGCUGGACUGCAAGCCCAAAAGGGCCCUGACCAAUCUUUUUCAGCUGAUACAGUGUGUAAAAUCUGCCAUUUAAAGCUGAGAGUUCUCCCUCUGAGAACAGUGGCCGCACUCCCUAUCGAGGCACUGCACAGAUCUUGUAGGGCCGCGGGGCCAAGGUGAUGCCCUGUGUGAAUUUGAGGUCGAGGAUGGUGUCCGGGGGAGCCUGGAAGGUGAAUUUCUGGAGCAGAGCCGUGAAGAAGAGGAAGAGCUCGGCGCG